rnacentral:rRNA from 1 species
AUUGAACGCUGGCGGCAUGCUUUACACAUGCAAGUCGAACGAAGUGGCGAACGGGUGAGUAAUACGUGGGUAACCUGCCCUCCUUUUUGGGAUAAGCUUGGGAAACUGGGUCUAAUACCGGAUAGUGCAAGAUGAGCUCGCGGCCUAUCAGCUUGUUGGUGGGGUAAUGGCCUACCAAGGCGUCGACGGGUAGCCGGCCUGAGAGGGUGUACGGCCACAUUGGGACUGAGAUACGGGCCAGACUCCUACGGGAGGCAGCAGUGGGGAAUAUUGCACAAUGGGCGGAAGCCUGAUGCAGCGACGCCGCGUGGGGGAUGAAGGUCUUCGGGUUGUAAACUCCUUUCGACAGGGACGCGGUACCUGUAUAAGAAGCACCGGCUAACUACGUGCCAGCAGCCGCGGUAAUUC